rnacentral:rRNA from 1 species
GACGAACGCUGGCGGCGUGCCUAAUACAUGCAAGUCGAGCGAAGUUUUUCUGCUUCUUGCACCGGAAAAACUUAGCGGCGAGCGGGUGAGUAACACGUAAAGAACCUGCCUUAUAGACUUGGACAACUAUUGGAAACGAUAGCUAAUACCGGAUAACAGCAUUAACUGCAUGGUUGAUGUUUGAAAGUUGGUUUUGCUAACACUAUGCGAUGGCUUUGCGGUGCGUUAGCUAGUUGGUGGGGUAAAGGCCUACCAAGUCGACGAUGCAUAGCCGAAGGGAGAGAGGGAUAGGCGACACUAGGAGGGAGACAGGGACAAGAGUACUGAGAGAGGGAGCAGAAGGGAAUGUGACGCAGUGGGGGAAAGCCUGACGCAGCAAGGCCGAGUGAGUGAAGAAGGAGUUGGGUGCGUAAAGAUCGGUUGUUAGGGAAGAAUGAUUGUGUAGUAACUAGAAGCAGGAGAGACGGUAACUAAUCAAGAAGCAACGGCUAACUACGUG